AUUGAACGCUGGCGGCAGGCCUAACACAUGCAAGUCGGACGGUAGCACAGAGGAGCUUGCUCCUCGGGUGACGAGUGGCGUACGGGUGAGUAAUGUCUGGGGAUCUGCCCGAUAGAGGGGGAUAACCACUGGAAACGGUGGCUAAUACCGCAUAACGUCGCAAGACCAAAGAGGGGGACCUUCGGGCCUCUCACUAUCGGAUGAACCCAGAUGGGAUUAGCUAGUAGGCGGGGUAACGGCCCACCUAGGCGACGAUCCCUAGCUGGUCUGAGAGGAUGACCAGCCACACUGGAACUGAGACACGGUCCAGACUCCUACGGGAGGCAGCAGUGGGGAAUAUUGCACAAUGGGCGCAAGCCUGAUGCAACCAUGCCGCGUGUAUGAAGAAGGCCUUCGGGUUGUAAAGUACUUUCAGCGGGGAGGAAGGCGAUGUGGUUAAUAACCGCAUUGAUUGACGUUACCCGCAGAAGAAGCACCGGCUAACUCCGUGCCAGCAGCCGCGGUAA
rnacentral:rRNA from 1 species